rnacentral:rRNA from 1 species
UACGUAGGGGGCAAGCGUUGUCCGGAAUCAUUGGGCGUAAAGAGCGUGUAGGCGGUCCGGUAAGUCCGCUGUGAAAGUCGGGGGCUCAACCCUCGAAUGCCGGUGGAUACUGUCGGGCUAGAGUACGGAAGAGGCGAGUGGAAUUCCUGGUGUAGCGGUGAAAUGCGCAGAUAUCAGGAGGAACACCAAUUGCGAAGGCAGCUCGCUGGGACGUAACUGACGCUGAGACGCGAAAGCGUGGGGAGCAAACAGG